AGAGUUUGAUCCUGGCUCAGGAUGAACGCUAGCUACAGGCUUAACACAUGCAAGUCGAGGGGAAACGACAUCGAAAGCUUGCUUUUGAUGGGCGUCGACCGGCGCACGGGUGAGUAACGCGUAUCCAACCUGCCCAUCACUUGGGGAUAACCUUGCGAAAGUAAGACUAAUACCCAAUGACGUCUCUAGAAGACAUCUGAAAGAGAUUAAAGAUUUAUCGGUGAUGGAUGGGGAUGCGUCUGAUUAGCUUGUUGGCGGGGUAACGGCCCACCAAGGCGACGAUCAGUAGGGGUUCUGAGAGGAAGGUCCCCCACAUUGGAACUGAGACACGGUCCAAACUCCUACGGGAGGCAGCAGUGAGGAAUAUUGGUCAAUGGACGAGAGUCUGAACCAGCCAAGUAGCGUGCAGGAUGACGGCCCUAUGGGUUGUAAACUGCUUUUAUAAGGGAAUAAAGUGAGUCUCGUGAGACUUUUUGCAUGUACCUUAUGAAUAAGGACCGGCUAAUUCCGUGCCAGCAGCCGCGGUAAUACGGAAGGUCCGGGCGUUAUCCGGAUUUAUUGGGUUUAAAGGGAGCGUAGGCCGGAGAUUAAGCGUGUUGUGAAAUGUAGACGCUCAACGUCUGCACUGCAGCGCGAACUGGUUUCCUUGAGUACGCACAAAGUGGGCGGAAUUCGUGGUGUAGCGGUGAAAUGCUUAGAUAUCACGAAGAACUCCGAUUGCGAAGGCAGCUCACUGGAGCGCAACUGACGCUGAAGCUCGAAAGUGCGGGUAUCGAACAGGAUUAGAUACCCUGGUAGUCCGCACGGUAAACGAUGGAUGCCCGCUGUUGGUCUGAAUAGGUCAGCGGCCAAGCGAAAGCAUUAAGCAUCCCACCUGGGGAGUACGCCGGCAACGGUGAAACUCAAAGGAAUUGACGGGGGCCCGCACAAGCGGAGGAACAUGU
rnacentral:rRNA from 1 species